GGAAAUGCUUGGUUGGAAAUGCUUAAGAGAGCACAAUGUGCACUUGCUAGAUCCCAACUCUCUUAGGCUCUUGCUUCAGGAAGGCCUAAAGUGAAAAUCUUUUCGGAGAUGCUGACAUUGGCUUAUUCCUCACCGUAUAAGUCUCUGGAGAUUUUGCAGGGGUUGCCCAGAGGUGAUCCUGAGACCUCUGCAGAAGAAAUAAAUGAAGGCCAUGAAACUUCCUUGAACUAGUGGAAAUCCAUGAGAAAAUCUGACAUUAUGUUCUAUUCUCUUGGAAGGUAGAAAUAUUGUUUGACUUCUGUUUUGUUGACAAGAAGUGAGGCCAGACCACCCAUCCGAACAAGGCUACCUGGGACAAUUACCUCACACGUGGAAAACAUUGGAGUCCAUCUGUUUCUAAUCUGCUGUUUUCCAAAAAUUAGAGAAGUUUAGUUUUCUCUUUGA